GUGUCAGCAGCCGCGGUAAUACGUAGGGGGCAAGCGUUGUCCGGAUUCACUGGGUGUAAAGGGCGCGCAGGCGGAUUAGCAAGUCAGAGGUGAAAUCCUACAGCUUAACUGUAGAACUGCCUUUGAGACUGUUAAUCUUGAGUACGGAAGAGAGAGAUGGAAUUCCAGGUGUAGUGGUGAAAUACGUAGAUAUCUGGAAGAACACCAGUGGCGAAGGCGGUCUCUUGGUCCUUUACUGACGCUAAGGCGCGAAAGCGUGGGGAGCAAACAGGAUUAGAUACCCUGGUAGUCC
rnacentral:rRNA from 1 species